rnacentral:rRNA from 1 species
GAGAUCACCGCUAUCANGGAUUUGAUUAAGCCAUGCNAGUCACUGGGUUAAACCAGGGCGAACUGCUGAGUAACNCGUACACUAANCUGCCCUCGGGCGGGGGAUAACUCCGGAAAACUGGAGAUAAUACCCCAUAUGAAACUAUGCCUGGAAUGGUUUGUUUCCNAAAGCUUCNGCACCCAAGGAUGGGGCUGCGUACGAUUAGGCUGACGCUAAGGUAAUGACUUACCAUACCGAUAAUCCUUANGGGCUGUGAGAGCAGUAGCCUCCAGAUGGGUUCUGAGACAUGAACCCAGGGCCUACGGGUCGCAGCAGGCGCGGAAACUUCGCAAUGCGCGAAAGCGUGACGAGGAAACCUUGAGUGCCAGCACACUGUGUUGGCUUUUCAUUANCGUAAAUAACUAGUGGAAUAAGUGGUGGGUAAUACCGUUGCCAGCCGCCGCGGUAAUAACGGAGCCACGAGUGGUGAUCUCGUUUAUUGGGUCUAAAGCAUCCGUAGCCGGUGCGUUAAGUCUUUUGUGAAAUCUUGCAGAAAACUGUAAGGCGUGCAAGAGAUACUGGCACACUUGGGACCGGGAGGGGUUGGAGGUACUUCAGGGGUAACGGUGGAAUGUUGUAAUCCCUGAGGGACCACCUGUGGCGAAGGCGUCCAACUGGAACGGAUCNGACGGUGAGGAAUGAAAGCGUGGGGAGCAAAGGGGAUUAGAUACCCCCGUAGUCCACGCUGUAAACGAUGCCCGUUAGAUAUUGGAGGUUCUUCGCGAACUUUCAGUGUCGUAGGGAAGCCGUUAAACGGGCCACCUGGGAAGUACGGUCGCAAGGCUGAAACUUAAAGGAAUUGGCGGGGGAACACACAAGGGGUGCAGUCUGCGGUUUAAUUGGAUUCAACGCCGGGAAACUCACCAGGGGUGACAGCACUAUGAUGGUCAGUCUGAAGGGCUUACCUGAGGCGCUGAGAGGUAUUGCAUGGCCAUCGUCAGCUCGUGCUGUGAGGUGUCCUGUUAAGUCAGGUAACGAGCGAGACCCACACCGUAUGUUGCUAUAUGCUUCUCCGGAAGCAUAGCACUCAUGCGGGACUGCCCGUGAUAAAUGGGAGGAAGGUGUGGUCAACGGUAGGUCAGUAUGGUCCGAAUCCCCAUGGGCUACACGCGGGCAACAAUGGGAGGGACAACGGGCUGCGACGCCGAAAGGCGAAGCUAAUCCCUCAAACCCUCUCUUAGUACAGAUUGUGGGUUGUAACUCACCCACAUGACGCCGGAAUCCCUAGUAACCGAAGUUUAUCACACUUCGGCGAAUACGUCCCUGUUCCUUGCACACACCGCCCAUCAAACCAUCUGAAUCGGGCUUGGAUGAUGCUUAUUCUCAUGGAUGAGUUGAAUCCGGGUUUGGUAAGGAGGGUU